rnacentral:rRNA from 1 species
UAGGGAAUCUUCGGCAAUGGGGGGAACCCUGACCGAGCAACGCCGCGUGAGUGAAGAAGGUUUUCGGAUCGUAAAGCUCUGUUGUUAAGGAAGAACGAGUGUGAGAAUGGAAAGUUCAUGCUGUGACGGUACUUAACCAGAAAGGGACGGCUAACUACGUGCCAGCAGCCGCGGUAAUACGUAGGGGGCUAGCGUUGUCCGGAAUCACUGGGCGUAAAGGGUUCGCAGGCGGAAAUGCAAGUCAGGAGUAAAAGGCAGUAGGUUAAAUACUGUAAGCAUUUGAAACUGCAUAUCUUGAGAAGAGUAGAGGUAAGUGGAAUUUUUAGUGUAGCGGUGAAAUGCGUAGAUAUUAAAAAGAAUACCGGUGGCGAAGGCGACUUACUGGGCUCAUUCUGACGCUGAGGAACGAAAGCGUGGGUAGCAAAAAGA